rnacentral:rRNA from 1 species
AGCGAACGCUGGCGGCAGGCUUAACACAUGCAAGUCGAGCGGGCACUUUCGGGUGUCAGCGGCGGACGGGUGAGUAACGCGUGGGAACGUGCCCUCUGGUUCGGAAUAACUCAGGGAAACUUGAGCUAAUACCGGAUACGCCCUUUUGGGGAAAGGCUUGCUGCCGGAGGAUCGGCCCGCGUCUGAUUAGCUAGUUGGUGAGGUAACGGCUCACCAAGGCGACGAUCAGUAGCUGGUCUGAGAGGAUGAUCAGCCACACUGGGACUGAGACACGGCCCAGACUCCGACGGGGGGCAGCGGGGGGAAAUAUGGGACAAUGGGCGAAAGCUUAAUCCGGCCGUGCCGCGUGAAGAAUGAGGCCCUGGGGGUUAAAAACCUCUUUUUUCCGGACAAAAAAUGAGGGUACGGGAGAGAAAACCCCCGACUAACUUCGUG